rnacentral:rRNA from 1 species
AACGAACGCUGGCGGCAUGCCUAACACAUGCAAGUCGAACGAAGUCUUCGGACUUAGUGGCGCACGGGUGCGUAACGCGUGGGAAUCUGCCCUUGGGUACGGAAUAACUCAGAGAAAUUUGUGCUAAUACCGUAUAAUGUCUUCGGACCAAAGAUUUAUCGCCCAAGGAUGAGCCCGCGUAAGAUUAGCUAGUUGGUGGGGUAAAAGCCUACCAAGGCGACGAUCUUUAGCUGGUCUGAGAGGAUGAUCAGCCACACUGGGACUGAGACACGGCCCAGACUCCUACGGGAGGCAGCAGUGGGGAAUAUUGGACAAUGGGCGAAAGCCUGAUCCAGCAAUGCCGCGUGAGUGAUGAAGGCCCUAGGGUUGUAAAGCUCUUUUACCAGGGAUGAUAAUGACAGUACCGGGAGAAUAAGCUCCGGCGAACUCCGU